GAUGAACGCUGGCGGCGUGCCUAAUACAUGCAAGUCGAGCGAACGGACGAGAAGCUUGCUUCUCUGAUGUUAGCGGCGGACGGGUGAGUAACACGUGGAUAACCUACUUAUAAGACUGGGAUAACUUCGGGAAACCGGAGCUAAUACCGGAUAAUAUUUUGAACCGCAUGGUUCAAAAGUGAAAGACGGUCUUGCUGUCACUUAUAGAUGGAUCCGCGCUGCAUUAGCUAGUUGGUAAGGUAACGGCUUACCAAGGCAACGAUGCAUAGCCGACCUGAGAGGGGGGUCGGCCAACCUGGGAAUGAGACACGGUCCCAACCCCUACGGGAGGCAGCAGUAGGGAAUCUUCCGCAAUGGGCGGAAGCCUGACGGAGCAACGCCGCGUGGGUGAUGAAGGUCUUCGGAUCGUAAAACUCUGUUAUUAGGGAAGAACAUAUGUGUAAGUAACUGUGCACAUCUUGACGGUACCUAAUCAGAAAGCCCCGGCUAACUACGUG
rnacentral:rRNA from 1 species